GAGACAGCAGCCGCCACGGGAAUACGGAGGGGGCUAGCGUUGUUCGGAAUUACUGGGCGUAAAGCGCACGUAGGCGGCUUGGUAAGUUAGAGGUGAAAGCCCGGAGCUCAACUCCGGAAUUGCCUUUAAGACUGCCGAGCUAGUAGGUGAGAGAGGUAAGUGGAAUUCCGAGUGUAGAGGUGAAAUUCGUAGAGAUCGGGAGGAACAUCAGUGGCGAAGGCGGCCAUCUGGGACAACACUGACGCUGAGGCACGAAAGCGUGGGGAGCAAACAGGAUUAGAUACCCCAGUAGUCCCUGUCUCUUAUAC
rnacentral:rRNA from 1 species